AACGAACGCUGGCGGCAUGCCUAACACAUGCAAGUCGAACGAGACCUUCGGGUCUAGUGGCGCACGGGUGCGUAACGCGUGGGAAUCUGCCCUUGGGUUCGGAAUAACAGUGAGAAAUUACUGCUAAUACCGGAUGAUGUCUUCGGACCAAAGAUUUAUCGCCCAGGGAUGAGCCCGCGUAGGAUUAGCUAGUUGGUGGGGUAAUGGCCUACCAAGGCGACGAUCCUUAGCUGGUCUGAGAGGAUGAUCAGCCACACUGGGACUGAGACACGGCCCAGACUCCUACGGGAGGCAGCAGUGGGGAAUAUUGGACAAUGGGCGCAAGCCUGAUCCAGCAAUGCCGCGUGAGUUAUGAAGGCCUUAGGGUUGUAAAGCUCUUUUACCCGGGAUGAUAAUGACAGUACCGGGAGAAUAAGCUCCGGCUAACUCCGUG
rnacentral:rRNA from 1 species